rnacentral:ncRNA from 1 species
GACGACAAGGGCAAACCCGUCGCGAGGCGGGGGCGCAAAGCCACGGAGCUCACGCAGCCAGCCGGGCCACCGAAC